AUGAAGCUUCAAGCACAAGUGGAGGCUUAUAAUGAGACCAAGAGGCUGCUGCGAGUCCUUAAGGAAAAAAAAGGAGAAAUUGGAGAAGAAAAAGAAGGAUGUGGAAGCCAAAGUCAAAGAAAUAUCUGCAACAAAGGAAUCCUUACCGGGGUCCCUAGAUGUCACCCUUCUUCAUCAGGAGGACUAGGAGAAGCCAGUGUCGAAUCUCAUCGAUGA